UGCAAACGCCCACUCGUCGAAGUUUUCGC
rnacentral:piRNA from 1 species